rnacentral:rRNA from 1 species
UGAGGAAUAUUGGGCAAUGCCCGCAAGGGUGACCCAGCAACGCCGCGUGGAGGAUGAAUGUCGUAAGAUUGUAAACUCCUGUUAGAGGGGAAGAAUAGUACCGGUUGGACCGGUAUAUGACUGUACCCUCAGAGAAAGCCCCGGCUAACUACGUGCCAGCAGCCGCGGUCAUACGUAGGGGGCAAGCGUUGUCCGGAUUUACUGGGUGUAAAGGGCGCGGAGGCGGGAUAAAAAGUCAGUGGUGAAAUCCUACAGCUUAACU